rnacentral:rRNA from 1 species
GACGAACGCUGGCGGCGUGCUUAACACAUGCAAGUCGAACGGAAAGGCCUGCAGCUUGCUGCGGGUACUCGAGUGGCGAACGGGUGAGUAACACGUGGGUGAUCUGCCUUGCACUUCGGGAUAAGCUUGGGAAACUGGGUCUAAUACCGGAUAGGACAGCUGUUUAGUGUCAGUUGUGGAAAGUUUUUUCGGUGCAAGAUGAGCUCGCGGCCUAUCAGCUUGUUGGUGGGGUAAUGGCCUACCAAGGCGUUGACGGGUAGCCGGCCUGAGAGGGUGUACGGCCACAUUGGGACUGAGAUACGGCCCAGACUCCUACGGGAGGCAGCAGUGGGGAAUAUUGCACAAUGGGCGGAAGCCUGAUGCAGCGACGCCGCGUGGGGGAUGAAGGCCUUCGGGUUGUAAACUCCUUUCGACAGGGACGAAGCUUUUGUGACGGUACCUGUAUAAGAAGCACCGGCUAACUACGUG